AAAGAAAUUGUUUUACAAGAUAGACAGAAUAGUUUUAUUUAAUCAUGAGUGGUAAGAAAACACAGAAAUCUCCCCGUUUGGAUUGUAUAUCACUGAUCAAGAAUAAAGCUCUGCAUUUUGAUGCAAUUGGUUACUUGAAAGCAAAGGAAUUGCAAAAAGAUGUCAAAAGAGUUAAAGAAAUAGACAAAGAAAAUAUGAAGCUGUUGAAAAAAAUAAACUUAAUUCAUCGAUUUGGGGGAUAUGUAGAUUGCUGGGCGCCUCAUAUCAAGUACAAAUCAAAUCUGAUUGACAGCCAAAAUCGUAAAAAUACUAAAAUUAUGCAAGAAAAUAAAGUUCUGUUGCGAAAAAUCUGUCAGGCGGAAAGUCAGUAUCCCAGGCGCAAGUUAUUGAAAGCUUGGCAAAGUCAUAAAAAAAGUGUGGAACAUCGAUCAAAGUCCAGAAAAAUAUAAAUAAAAUAUACACAUACAUUAACGUGAUAUUGUAGUAGAUUGAUUCAACGAAGGACUGGUGCAUUAGAUAUUAGAUUAUACCAAAGACAGUUAGCCCAGAAAAUGUAAUUAAACAAUGUUUCUUUGAUAUCGGAGUCAAAGUGGAAAAUUGGAAAUUAGGGCGUAUAGUGUUUCAACUCUACAAUGUCGUACCGCUCACAUGAGAGAACUUCGCAGCUUUUUGAAAUAAACGGAAAUUACUCUAUUUCAUCGAAUUGUCUGCGGUUACUGAUGUCAGAACGGAGAUGUCACAAAGUUUAAUAAUACCGACGGUACCUCUAUAUACGGCGACUCAUUUGAAAAGGAAACCUUCAAUUUGCGUUACAGUCCCGGUAUUCUAUCUACCCUAUGACGAUGAUAAUGGCAGAAACUAUUCCAAGUUUAAUCUCACUUUUAAGCGUUCGCUAUCCGCGAACAAUGAUAAAAUUGUUUUCGGCCAAGUGAUCAAAAAAAUGGCUAAUAUUUAAAAGAUUUUAGCGCGUACGUGCGUUUAAAUUAAACCGCAGAGAUAAACUAUUCAUGUCCGCCAUGAUUAAAUAGAUUGAGGUAUUUGGUACGAAGACUGGGAAGCUAAUAAAAUCAGUGAUUGCAUUAAAUUGCGGAGUUCUGUUGAAUAAACGUGCAAUGUCAGAGCUGCAAAUAUGAUCAGGAUACAUUAUCUUCAUCAGAUGAGGAUGUAAUUUAUCACAUAAUCUAUAUAUAAAUACUAUCGAUAUUUAACUUAAGUCGAAUUUUAUCAAAACUUCACACAAAUAAAGUAAA